rnacentral:rRNA from 1 species
GAUGAACGCUGGCGGCGUGCCUAAUACAUGCAAGUCGAGCGAACAGACGAGGAGCUUGCUCCUCUGACGUUAGCGGCGGACGGGUGAGUAACACGUGGAUAACCUACCUAUAAGACUGGGAUAACUUCGGGACACCGGAGCUAAUACCGGAUAAUAUAUUGAACCGCAUGGUUCAAUAGUGAAAGACGGUUUUGCUGUCACUUAUAGAUGGAUCCGCGCCGCAUUAGCUAGUUGGUAAGGUAACGGCUUACCAAGGCAACGAUGCGUAGCCGACCUGAGAGAGUGAUCGGCCACACUGGAACUGAGACACGGUCCAGACUCCUACGGGAGGCAGCAGUAGGGAAUCUUCCGCAAUGGGCGAAAGCCUGACGGAGCAACGCCGCGUGAGUGAUGAAGGUCUUCGGAUCGUAAAACUCUGUUAUUAGGGAAGAACAAAUGUGUAAGUAGCUAUGCACGUCUUGACGGUACCUAAUCAGAAAGCCACGGCUAACUACGUG